rnacentral:lncRNA from 1 species
AUCACUAAACAUAAUCAUUCAUUGACUACAUAAAUUAAAGUGCAACAAAUACAAUAAUGGAAACACAUAAAAAUAAGUAUUUGAACAUUAUAGGGAAAAUAUAGAAUCUCAAGAUUCUUAUUCAUCCACUUGAAAUUUUCAAGUUCAACCAAGCUAUUUUGUUUCCCGAGCCUCUAGUGAGUUACAGACAGAGUUCAAAAAGGUCAAAUCUUUGAUGAUUCCAUCAUCUAUGAUUAAGUUGCAGCAGAAGAUCCUGAAUUUGAAACUUUCUACACCAAAAAUAUUAUAUUAAACGAAGGUAUUCGUGCUUGGAUGGCAGCUAAAGAAAAAAUAUAGGCUAGGCGUAAGCGUAAAUCGAUAUGCUGAAAUAAAAAAUACGAAGCACCGAUGAUAUAGAAAUAGUGAAUCCUAAUGUAAAUAGAGUUUAGGUUCGAAUUCGAUAUUCUUCCAAUAUCAAUUUCGGUUGAUAGUGGUUUUUUAUCAAAUCGAUCUAUUUUCUGUUCAAUUUUUUGGUAAUCAGUAUCAGGAAGAAGGCUAUGUUAAAUUUUAAGCAUAAAUCCCAACACAAAUAUUUAGCACAUGUUAAACGAUUGAUAAAAAGGAGAAUCUAUAUAACAAUACAUUACAAGUUAGACAAAAUAAUCGAGAAAAUUCAAGAUUAUAGACAAAAUCUUUUUUGAAACUUGGUCUUGACUUUACCUAAAUAUUUCUCCUCCUUCCUUGGAUGUAUUCUCCACGUGCUUUGAGUUUUAUCCCACAAUAUUAAGAAAAAUUAAAGGAAGAAGAAAGAAAAGAAGAUGAAAGAAGAAGAAUUAGAAUGGAAAAAUCCUAUUUUAGCUCCUAGUUUUAAUAUUUCAAAUAGGUAUUUUCAAAAAUGUCUAAUUUCAUGGGUGUCAAUUGAAAAAUGUCGACUUUUUAAAUUUAGCACUAAAUUGUUUAUUAAGCCCUUUAUGAAAACAGAAGCAAUUUAUUUAUUUUUUCAAUUUGUUGCGGAUUUCGAAAAGUAGUUUUCAUGAGAAGCUACAUUAAAAUGAAAUUCUCGACAUUUCAAAUGUCAUUCUCGAUAUUUGAAUUCCGUUUAUAUUUUAAAAGUACACAUGUCAAAUCACAAUAUUAAAUGUUCUUGGCAUUCUAAAUCUCUAGAAUGACAUUUCAUUCUGAACAUGACAAUUCUCAACACUUAAAAUGUAAUUUUCGACAUUUUUGUGUCAAUGAGAAAAAUAGCAUUAAUUGUGAUUGGACAUGUGCACUAUUAAAAUAAAUAUGGUAGAUUAUGUGUCCAAAAUUUAUUGGCCAAUAAAAUUUUUACAAAAAUGUCCAUUUCUUGUUUUUGUGUGGAAUCAUAAAUUGUUCACAGGGGUAUGUUGGUCCAAAAUAUUCCAAAAUGGACAUUUUUGCAAGAAUUUGUGAAAGUGGACAUUUUUGCAAAUGAACAUGUGAAAGUGGACAUUUCAAGCAAUUUCCUCUAUUUCAAAUUCAAACCUAGAAAAUUUGAAACCAAGUCCUUGAAGUUUUGAAAAGAAAUAAAAAGGUCUCCAUUUUUAUUUUUUAUUUUUUUAAAUGGCGCCUAAACGCCAACUCUCAUCCAAAUGGUUUCAUUUAUUAUUAUUUUUUUCUUUUUCUUUUGCACACAAGUCCUCUAUAAAUUUGCGCUCAAUGUUCUCAACUUUAAUCUUGUACAAUUUGGUCAUUGAAUUUUGACUUUCAUUUCAAUCAUACCUCCAAAAUUUCAACCCAAGGUUCAUCAACUUUCUCCCAUUGUGCAAUUUGGUCACCAACUCCAUGUUUUUGUACGCUUUUGAUCAAUUUUCUCUCCCUUUUGCCUUGUUCUCUUUCUGUUUGGCGUUUAUGACCAACAAAAAUCAAAAUUAGCCAAUUGUAAAUAGAAAAUCACUCAACUUAAUCAAUAAUUAGCUUGUUAAAAUAUUUAAUAAUUGUACAAAAAUGCACCUAUCAAAUACUUCCAAACUUAUGUUCUUGCUCAUCCCAAGCAAGAUUAUCUACAACAUAAAUCAAGCAAACGUGAUAAUAAUUAACACAUUAGAUAGCUUGCCAAAAAUAUCGAAGAGUGUAAAAUUGUAUAGUCAAUUCACAAAUAUGCUCCAAAUAAUGCAAGCAAAAAUAAUUUAAUCUUAUCCAAUAUUUGAUCGGUGUGUGCGCUCGUACAAAGUCACUUUCAAUCAUCAUCUAAAUUAAGAAAAAGUUGUCAAGACAGAAGAAAUUUCAAAUUAGCACAAACCCGACCUUUAGUGGUCAAAUAUUUCCUUUCUACUCGUGAAAUUCACACACUCAAAUAGGUAAUCCUUUUUUUUUGGCCCCCGGGUGUAAAUCUAAAGGCUUCUAUCAAAUCACCCAUUUCAUUUCCCGCUCUUGUUCGGCUGGGCCUGACUAGCAAUCUCAACAUCUAGACAUGUAAUGAUUCCACACUAAUGAGUGCUUCAACAUUCAAGUUUAUACUAAGUAAUUCAAAGGCACUACUUAUAAAAGCCCAAUUAUCAAAUAUAAUUGCACAAUAAUAAUUUUUUUUCCCUUCUUUCAAUUAAAUCUCAUAUUUUACCUUACUCCCCUUGAACUUUCUUUUUAUUACACUACAUUUCAUUCCUGUUAUCUUCUAGUAAACUCUCAGUGAUUGAUCUGGGCUAAUACUUCCUGGGUUACAGAUUCCCAGGGCUUACAGUAGAGCAACAACAACAGCUAAUCUACAGGAAAUUACUCAGCAGCUUCAGGGUUCUAACAUUGAUCUACAGACAGAAAAUUCUCAAACGAUUCAAAUUUCACAAACUAAAUUACCAAAUAUACACAAAGACAGACGUAUGUCUUCUAGAUAGAUUUAUACAUAUCCGUGUGCACUAUCUGUUGCAAUCAUGGGCUCUUCUGCCUCCCCUUUCUCAAAUCCCAUUUCAUAUUUUUCAUCAUAUUGAGUUUAUGCUAAAAAGGGAUCAUCAAUUGAAUUGUCCAAGAUAACAAAACACAAAAAAGAAUGGUGCAGGUAAUGUUGAUAACAAAAACAUGACAGGCUAAAAAAUCUAAAUUUUUAUGUAUACUCCACUCAAUUUUUCAGUAUGAAGAAUUAUGACAUGUUAUUGCCUAAUAUUUACGUUUCUUCCACUCAAUUAUACAAUCUGGUGGACAAGUUUAAACAGUUUAUUAGUUUAUUAUCCUCAACUAUUCAAUUAACUAAAAUUCCCAUUACAGCAAAUAGGAAGAAAAGAUAACAUUCAAAAAGCCAGCUAACGCAAAUGUUCAAUUUUAUUUUCCUUAAAUCCUGAAGAGUAUAACAUAGCGAAGAGUUAUAAAAUUGUGUUAAUUAAAUGAUAAAGAGGGAAUGUUACUUGACAUACACCAUGUGAAAAGCGAGCCAUCGAAGGCGGCGGCAGUAGUGUGCUCACAUCCACAAGCAAUAUGAAGCCACUAGAAUUUAUGUCGGCGGGACAACAGAUUGCGCUCUUCGUGGGGACAUUUCCCCGUUGUGAAUCCCCAAAUAGCUCAUUGAUCUCCAUAUUUCUUUACUACUUAUUAUCAAUUCCGCACAUCCUAGAAGAAAUCAUAAAACCAAUGUAGAAAAUGGAUAACUAACUAUGACUGAAAUCAAUUUGGGGAAUGGGAAAUGAGAAAUUAGUAAAGUCAAUUGUCACCUACGGAAGAAUUGAGCCACGAACAGUUAAAUCGAGAUGGGUCUUAGACGGAAAGUUGGAAACUGAGUUUUUAUUUUUUUAUUUUUUUUGGCAUUCAUUACCUUAGUUCUUCGAUCUCC